rnacentral:tRNA from 1 species
GCUAUGGCUCAGUGGCAGAGUGCUUGCCUAGCAUGUGUGAGGUACUGGGUUCAAUUCUCAGCACUGCA